GGUUAAGCGACUAAGCGUACACGGUGGAUGCCCUGGCAGUCAGAGGCGAUGAAGGACGUGCUAAUCUGCGAUAAGCGUCGGUAAGGUGAUAUGAACCGUUAUAACCGGCGAUUUCCGAAUGGGGAAACCCAGUGUGAUUCGUCACACUAUCAUUAACUGAAUCCAUAGGUUAAUGAGGCGAACCGGGGGAACUGAAACAUCUAAGUACCCCGAGGAAAAGAAAUCAACCGAGAUUCCCCCAGUAGCGGCGAGCGAACGGGGAGCAGCCCAGAGCCUGAAUCAGUGUGUGUGUUAGUGGAAGCGUCUGGAAAGGCGUGCGAUACAGGGUGACAGCCCCGUACACAAAAAUGCACAUACUGUGAGCUCGAUGAGUAGGGCGGGACACGUGGUAUCCUGUCUGAAUAUGGGGGGACCAUCCUCCAAGGCUAAAUACUCCUGACUGACCGAUAGUGAACCAGUACCGUGAGGGAAAGGCGAAAAGAACCCCGGCGAGGGGAGUGAAAAAGAACCUGAAACCGUGUACGUACAAGCAGUGGGAGCACGCUUAGGCGUGUGACUGCGUACCUUUUGUAUAAUGGGUCAGCGACUUAUAUUCUGUAGCAAGGUUAACCGAAUAGGGGAGCCGAAGGGAAACCGAGUCUUAACUGGGCGUUAAGUUGCAGGGUAUAGACCCGAAACCCGGUGAUCUAGCCAUGGGCAGGUUGAAGGUUGGGUAACACUAACUGGAGGACCGAACCGACUAAUGUUGAAAAAUUAGCGGAUGACUUGUGGCUGGGGGUGAAAGGCCAAUCAAACCGGGAGAUAGCUGGUUCUCCCCGAAAGCUAUUUAGGUAGCGCCUCGUGAAUUCAUCUCCGGGGGUAGAGCACUGUUUCGGCAAGGGGGUCAUCCCGACUUACCAACCCGAUGCAAACUGCGAAUACCGGAGAAUGUUAUCACGGGAGACACACGGCGGGUGCUAACGUCCGUCGUGAAGAGGGAAACAACCCAGACCGCCAGCUAAGGUCCCAAAGUCAUGGUUAAGUGGGAAACGAUGUGGGAAGGCCCAGACAGCCAGGAUGUUGGCUUAGAAGCAGCCAUCAUUUAAAGAAAGCGUAAUAGCUCACUGGUCGAGUCGGCCUGCGCGGAAGAUGUAACGGGGCUAAACCAUGCACCGAAGCUGCGGCAGCGACGCUUAUGCGUUGUUGGGUAGGGGAGCGUUCUGUAAGCCUGUGAAGGUGUGCUGUGAGGUAUGCUGGAGGUAUCAGAAGUGCGAAUGCUGACAUAAGUAACGAUAAAGCGGGUGAAAAGCCCGCUCGCCGGAAGACCAAGGGUUCCUGUCCAACGUUAAUCGGGGCAGGGUGAGUCGACCCCUAAGGCGAGGCCGAAAGGCGUAGUCGAUGGGAAACAGGUUAAUAUUCCUGUACUUGGUGUUACUGCGAAGGGGGGACGGAGAAGGCUAUGUUGGCCGGGCGACGGUUGUCCCGGUUUAAGCGUGUAGGCUGGUUUUCCAGGCAAAUCCGGAAA
rnacentral:rRNA from 1 species